CCAGACCUGAAUACUCAUGCUAGCUCCCAUAACUCAUGCCUAGGCUUUAGCUCAAUAGGCUAAUAUGUUCUCGAGGACCACUACACCUACAUCAGACACAUUUGAUGUGUAAAUCGCAUUGCUCCUACUUUAGCUGUCAUUUCCUCUCCAGGGGGCACCAGGGAGGAGGCUGAAGCAGGUCAUAGGGGCCUUGCAGGGCCUCACGGGGUGAGAAGGGAAGAAGGGGUGACGAGGGACCACCUGGGCUAGAGGGGCAUGAAGGGGAUAGGCCUCACUAUGGGACCAAGGAGAUCCAGGUGACCCAGAAGACCACCAGAAGCAUUUGGACACCCUGGCGUCUACGGAGCUCCAGGCGCACUGUAAUGGACCCCUACAGUCCCCGUACUGUUUCCCUGGUCCCUCAGGUCCGCCAGGUCAUCCAGGACCCCCAGGGCUUCCCGGAGGACCUCUCAGAGGUCAAGGCCUUAAGGGUAGUCGUGGAGCGGACCUUCCCACAGGUGUCGCCCAUCUUCCCCAUUAUCCCAUGGGUACUUAUACCUAUACCUGUACCUUAUUUUCCACCAUAAUUUGC
ensembl:lncRNA